rnacentral:rRNA from 1 species
UACGUAGGGCGCAAGCGUUGUCCGGAAUUAUUGGGCGUAAAGAGCUCGUAGGCGGUCUGUCGCGUCGGAUGUGAAAGCCCGGGGCUUAACCCCGGGUCUGCAUUCGAUACGGGCAGACUAGAGUGUGGUAGGGGAGAUCGGAAUUCCUGGUGUAGCGGUGAAAUGCGCAGAUAUCAGGAGGAACACCAAUGGCGAAGGCAGAUCUCUGGGCCGUAACUGACGCUGAGGAGCGAAAGCAUGGGGAGCGAACAGG